GAUGAAGAACGCAGCGAAAUGCGAUAAGUAAUGCGAAUUGCAGAAUUUCCGUGAGUCAUCGAAUCUUUGAACGCACAUUGCGCCCACUGGUAUUCCGGUGGGCAUGCCUGUUCGAGCGUCAUUAUCCUCCCUCAAACCUCGGGUUUGGUGUUGGACCCAAGUUGUGUGAACAACUGGUCUCAAAGACAAUGACGGCGUCCGUGGGACCCUCGGUGCAACGAGCUUUUAGGAGCACGCGUCGAGUUUCAAGGACCUUCCGGGCCGGUCUCCUUUACUAUUUUUACAAGGUUGACCUCGGAUCAGGUAGGAAUACCCGCUGAACUUAAGCAUAUCAAUAAGUGGAGGA
rnacentral:misc_RNA from 1 species